UGUUGGUCUCCUGAUGGGUAAUAAGAACAAGCGGAUGGAGCCUUCAACUGAGAAGAAAACUGAUGAUGAAGAGGUCUUACGAAACAAGCCUGAUUUUCACCGCAAACCAUGGCCAACCAUAAGCAACAGUGCGAAAGAUUUUGUAAAGAAGUUACUGGUGAAGGAUCCUCGGGCAAGACUAACUACUGCCCAGGCCCUAUGUAUGUAUUGAAUUUGUCUCUUAGUAAAUAUCAAUUUUGAUUACUUCUGGCCUAUUGGAAUUGGCUAAUGCAAUUACAAAAAUUUUUAGGCAAUAGAGUUGUGACUCAAACUGAGAUUCUUUUAGUUUUCUUUUUAUUUUACAAUUUAGUCCCUGAGAAUAGUUACUGUGUUAUGUUCUUCCCCCCUUUUAUAAUCAUAAACAUUUGGGGGGGGGGGAUAUAUGAAUAUCUUUCAUUUCAUUUUAAA